ACGGAAGGCAGCAGUGGGGAAUAUUGCACAAUGGGCGAAAGCCUGAUGCAGCGACGCCGCGUGAACGAAGAAGUAUUUCGGUAUGUAAAGUUCUAUCAGCAGGGAAGAUAAUGACGGUACCUGACUAAGAAGCACCGGCUAAAUACGUGCCAGCAGCCGCGGUAAUACGUAUGGUGCAAGCGUUAUCCGGAUUUACUGGGUGUAAAGGGAGCGCAGGCGGCGCGGCAAGUCUGAAGUGAAAUCCCGGGGCUCAACCCCGGAACUGCUUUGGAAACUGUCGUGCUAGAGUGUCGGAGGGGUAAGCGGAAUUCCUAGUGUAGCGGUGAAAUGCGUAGAUAUUAGGAGGAACACCAGUGGCGAAGGCGGCUUACUGGACUGUAACUGACGUUGAGGCUCGAAAGCGUGGGGAGCAAACAGGAUUAGAUACCCUGGUA
rnacentral:rRNA from 1 species